GCCCGCUCGCCGGAAGACCAAGGGUUCCUGUCCAACGUUAAUCGGGGCAGGGUGAGUCGACCCCUAAGGCGAGGCCGAAAGGCGUAGUCGAUGGGAAACGGGUUAAUAUUCCCGUACUUGGUGUUACUGCGAAGGGGGGACGGAGAAGGCUAUGUUGGCCGGGCGACGGUUGUCCCGGUUUAAGCGUGUAGGUGUGUGUUCCAGGUAAAUCCGGUUCACUUUAACACUGAGGCGUGACGACGAGGCACUACGGUGCUGAAGCAACAAAUGCCCUGCUUCCAGGAAAAGCCUCUAAGCAUCAGGUAACAUCAAAUCGUACCCCAAACCGACACAGGUGGUCAGGUAGAGAAUACCAAGGCGCUUGAGAGAACUCGGGUGAAGGAACUAGGCAAAAUGGUGCCGUAACUUCGGGAGAAGGCACGCUGACACGUAGGUGAAGUGAUUUACUCAUGGAGCUGAAGUCAGUCGAAGAUACCAGCUGGCUGCAACUGUUUAUUAAAAACACAGCACUGUGCAAACACGAAAGUGGACGUAUACGGUGUGACGCCUGCCCGGUGCCGGAAGGUUAAUUGAUGGGGUCAGCGCAAGCGAAGCUCCUGAUCGAAGCCCCGGUAAACGGCGGCCGUAACUAUAACGGUCCUAAGGUAGCGAAAUUCCUUGUCGGGUAAGUUCCGACCUGCACGAAUGGCGUAAUGAUGGCCAGGCUGUCUCCACCCGAGACUCAGUGAAAUUGAACUCGCUGUGAAGAUGCAGUGUACCCGCGGCAAGACGGAAAGACCCCGUGAACCUUUACUAUAGCUUGACACUGAACAUUGAGCCUUGAUGUGUAGGAUAGGUGGGAGGCUUUGAAGUGUGGACGCCAGUCUGCAUGGAGCCGACCUUGAAAUACCACCCUUUAAUGUUUGAUGUUCUAACGUGGACCCGUUACCCGGGUUGCGGACAGUGUCUGGUGGGUAGUUUGACUGGGGCGGUCUCCUCCUAAAGAGUAACGGAGGAGCACGAAGGUUGGCUAAUCCUGGUCGGACAUCAGGAGGUUAGUGCAAUGGCAUAAGCCAGCUUGACUGCGAGCGUGACGGCGCGAGCAGGUGCGAAAGCAGGUCAUAGUGAUCCGGUGGUUCUGAAUGGAAGGGCCAUCGCUCAACGGAUAAAAGGUACUCCGGGGAUAACAGGCUGAUACCGCCCAAGAGUUCAUAUCGACGGCGGUGUUUGGCACCUCGAUGUCGGCUCAUCACAUCCUGGGGCUGAAGUAGGUCCCAAGGGUAUGGCUGUUCGCCAUUUAAAGUGGUACGCGAGCUGGGUUUAGAACGUCGUGAGACAGUUCGGUCCCUAUCUGCCGUGGGCGCUGGAGAACUGAGGGGGGCUGCUCCUAGUACGAGAGGACCGGAGUGGACGCAUCACUGGUGUUCGGGUUGUCAUGCCAAUGGCACUGCCCGGUAGCUAAAUGCGGAAGAGAUAAGUGCUGAAAGCAUCUAAGCACGAAACUUGCCCCGAG
rnacentral:rRNA from 1 species